GUGGAAACAAGAGUCGGCCAGACCGCUGACUGGGAACCAGGUCACAUUGGAGGGUCUUCAAAUGUUUCUCUGUCAUCCACCCAAAAGCAGAGCAGGAUGCACAGACCUUCCUCUGCCACCUGUCCAACAAGCUGCUCUACUCUUUUUGCUUGCUCUCACACCAGGAAGCAUUCCAAACUAGCGCUGCUCGCCACGCUUCAGCAGACCGCUGCAGCAUUAAUACCACAGGUGGUGGAAACUGCUCUGAAGUUCCUCCUGGAUGAACCAGAGCCACUUGUUGAGGUUGAGCGAGGAGUCCAGUUUGGGCUCUGAUCUGAGAAACAGGGCUGAUGCUGCCAGUGCUCAGAACAGCUGGCUGACGCUUCUGUCUGAUACAUCUUUUUACUAAAGCUCGUCUCCUGUGCGACUGCACAUCAGUGGCUAUUUGCAAAAAAGAUUUGCUGACUGCUCCAAAAAAUUUCCAUGAAAGCUUCAUCACUCCCAGAGAGAGCUUCAUCUGUGCCAUACAGGACAUGGAUGAAAGAGUGCUGAGUGCUUGGCAUUUUACUGUGAAGGGCCCCAUAUUAAUCAUGAGUCCUACUAACAGAGUCUUACUGUCAAAAAUAUUUGCGCUACGAGCAUAUUGGUGCUCAUAACACCUUUAUUUUCACAAUGUAGAAGAAAAAAGAAAGAAUAAGAUUCAUAAAGUGUUUUUCAGACUCCA